rnacentral:rRNA from 1 species
GAAUUUAAUUUAAGGUUUAACCUGCCCACUGAUUAAUUAAAUGGCCGCAGUAAUUUGACUGUGCAAAGGUAGCAUAAUCAUUAGUUUUUUAAUUAAAAGCUUGUAUGAAGGGUUGGACGAGGUAAAAUCUGUCUCUAUUUAAUUUAUUUUAGAAUUUAAUUUUUAAGUUAAAAAGCUUAAAUAUUUAUAAAAGACGAGAAGACCCUAUAGAUCUUUAUAUUAUUAUAUAUAAUUUUAAUAAGGAAUUUUUUAUUUUUUAUUUGUAUUAAUAUUUUAUUGGGGCAAUAAAAAGAUUUUAAUAAUUCUUUUUGAUUUAUAAUAUAGAUUAAUAAAUUUAUGAUCCAAUAUUUUUGAUUAAAAGAUUAAGUUACCUUAGGGAUAACAGCGUAAUUUUUUUUGAGAGUUCAUAUCGAUAAAAAAGUUUGCGACCUCGAUGUUGGAUUAAAAAUUAUUUUAGGUGCAGAAGCUUGAAAAUAUUGGUCUGUUCGACCAUUAAAUUUUU